CACACAGGCCACAUGGUGAAUCACACAGGGAAAUGCUGCGGGCUAAAAAUAACCCCUGGCUGUUUUUGUCCUGCCGAGAUAUUUUUAAGCUGCUGGCUUUGCCAACCCGGGACCCGACACCAGUGAAGCGAGCACUGUAAGGGCGAGGGCUGCUGAGCGCCGAGCGAGGAGCUCCGGCUCCAGCUGCCGUACCCCAGCCUGUGGGGUCAGCUGCCUGAACCCAGCACAGCCACCCGUGCACACCAGCUUGUCACAGCCAGCACGGGAUAAACCCACAGCACCAGCAGAGCCGGAUGCGCCAAAGAGCCAGAAGCCCUUUUUCUUCCCGAAAAGUUAAUUGGAUCAGAGCUCCUCGCUGGCAGCUGGCACCCAGGUGAACUCCAGCCCUGCAGAGGGGCUGCCUGGCAGGACCAGGGUGACCAGGGGACAGAGCCUGGAGACAGAGCCCAGGAGCUGCCUCCUGCAGGGAGGGAACUCGGCAACGUCUCAGGAACUUCAAGAAGGCCCCGUGGUGAUGCCAGCCUCACUGCUCCAUCAUGGCAGAGCCCAUCCCACGGCAUCACGCAGUGGUUUUGCUCCCAUUAGACAUUCCCCAGGAUGAAUUUCCCCCUCCAUGCUUCCAGCUUUGUCAUUUGUGAGAGCUGAUUACUGCCAGCAGUCCCUUUCAGCACGGUCCACCCAGCUACUCACAGGUACAGCUCCCUCCUCGCCUGCAAACUGAGACGGCUUCAGCAGCACUCGGGUUUUGUUAUUUUUUCCAGACUUCAGCAUGCGACACGCCGCUUGCCAUCUUCCUCAAUAAUUAAGCAGUCGGUGCCAUUGUCAAAGAAGCACUUCACUACACUUGUACCAGGUUUCCGACCAACUGCGGUCCCAAGCGAGGCGGCGUUAGGCACCGGGACUGCAGCUCGGCGAUUACGGGGCUGUAAAUAACGCCUUGGAAUAUACGGUUUGUUGUGGUGAUAACACACAUUUGGUGGGUUACAUAAAUUGGAGCAAUCCUGCUGACAGAGGAAAAA